ACGGGAGGCAGCAGUGGGGAAUAUUGCACAAUGGGGGAAACCCUGAUGCAGCGAUGCCGCGCGGAGGAAGAAGGUUUUCGGAUUGUAAACUCCUGUCUUAAGGGACGAUAAUGACGGUAGCUAAGGAGCAAGCCACGGCUAACUACGUGCCAGCAGCCGCGGUAAUACGUAGGUGGCAAGCGUUGUCCGGAUUUACUGGGUGUAAAGGGAGCGCAGGCGGGAAAUCAAGUUGGAUGUGAAAUGUCGGGGCUUAACCCCGGAACUGCAUCCAAAACUGAUUUUCUUGAGUGAAGUAGAGGUAGGCGGAAUUCCGAGUGUAGCGGUGAAAUGCGUAGAUAUUCGGAGGAACACCAGUGGCGAAGGCGGCCUACUGGGCUUUAACUGACGCUGAGGCUCGAAAGUGUGGGGAGCAAACAGGAUUAGAUACCCUGGUA
rnacentral:rRNA from 1 species